UUCUACGGGGGGCAGCAGUGGGGGAUAUUGGACAAUGGGGGGAACCCUGAUCCAGCGACGCCGCGUGAGUGAAGAAGUAUUUCGGUAUGUAAAGCUCUGUCAGCAGGGAAGAAAGCAAUGACGGUACCUGACCAAGAAGCCCCGGCUAACUACGUGCCAGCAGCCGCGGUAAUACGUAGGGGGCAAGCGUUAUCCGGAUUUACUGGGUGUAAAGGGAACGAAGACGGCUGAGCAAGCCUGAAGUGAAAGGCAGGGGCACAACCCCUGGACUGCUUUGGGAACUGUACGGAUGGAGUGCAGGAGAG
rnacentral:rRNA from 1 species